CGGAGGGUGGCGGACCGCCAGAAGGGUGGCAGAGGCCGAAGGAGAUGCAAGAGAAAUGGAUUGGGAAGGGCAGGAUCAUCAGAGGACCAACAUCUCCCCAGCAUAAAGACACUAUCGUGGAAAUGCAGAAUGCAUCGGACAAGUACCUAGGCAUGCUGCUGACCACCUGUUGGAUGCUCACCAUGUCCAGCGAAGGGCCAUCACACGCCAGACCAUUGCGCCAGCUCCCUGCGCUGGUUGGAGCCGCUUCUGGGAGUUCAACGGCCUCCUUCCUCCCACUUCUGGCUGGAGAUUCUUCUGGCUGGCAGCAGCACCCUGAAGCCAACACGAGGCUUCUUCCCAUCUUGCACUUUGUCCAGGUGGCACCAGCAGCAGCAGCAGCAGCAGCAGCAGCACCAAUAUUUAUAUACCGCUUUUCAACAAAAGAGAACAAAGCGGUUUACUAUCUAUCUAUCUAUCUAUCUAUCUAUCUAUCUAUCUAUCAUAUUUCUAUGCCGCCUAAUAUGUACAUCUCUAGGCUGUUUACACAGAGAAAUAAUAAAUAAAUGAAUGAAUAAUUGA